CUAUUAUGGUGUCCGUACUAAAACUGACACAGGUAGGCGGGGAGAGGAUCCUAAGGCGCUCGAGAGAACCCUCGUUAAGGAACUCGGCAAAAUCACUCCGUAACUUCGGGAGAAGGAGUGCCCCGAAUUUAUUCGGGGCCGCAGUGAAAAGGUCUGGGCGACUGUUUACUAAAAACACAAGUCUCUGCUAAGAUUUAUAAUCAACGUAUAGAGACUGACGCGUGCUCGAUGCCAGAACGUUAAGGGGAUGGGUUAGUGUCCGAAAGGAUGCGAAGCUCAGAACCGAAGCGCUGGUGAAUGGCGGCUCUAACUAUGAGAGUCCUAAGGUAGCGAAGUUCCUUGUCGGAUAAUUACCGACGUGCAUGAAUCGCGUAACGACUUAGAUACUGUCUCAACGAGGGACUCGGCGAAAUUGUAGUCGUGGUGAAGAUGCCACGUACCCGCGGCAAGACGGAAAGACCCCGUGAACCUUUACUGUAGCCUAUUAUUGGGUUUUGUCACAGUAUGCGUAGGAUAGGUGGGAGACUAAGAAGUCCCAGCUCUGGCUGGGGCAGAGUCGACGUUGAAAUACCACUCUUACUAUGUUAAAAUUCUAACUAAAUUCCGUGAAUCCGGAUUUGGGACAGUGAUAGGUGGGCAGUUUGACUGGGGCGGUCUCCUCCUAAAGAGUAACGGAGGAGUCCAAAGGCUUCCUCAGUGCGCUUGGCAACCGCACGUAGAGUGUAAGGGCAGAAGGAAGCUUGACUGCGAGACCUAUAAGUCGAGCAGAUGUGAAAGCAGGGCCUAGUGAUCCGGUGGUUGUGUGUGGAAACGCCAUCGCUCAACAGAUAAAAGGUACUCCGGGGAUAACAGGCUGAUCGCCCCCGAGCGUCCAUAGCGGCGGGGCGGUUUGGCACCUCGAUGUCGGCUCAUCGCAUCCUGGGGCUGGAGAAGGUCCCAAGGGUUCUGGAGUUCACAGAUUAAAGCGGUACGCGAGCUGGGUUUAGACCGUCGUGAGACAGGUCGGUCCCUAUCUGCCGUGGGUGGACGAUAUUUGAGGAGAUCUGUCCUUAGUACGAGAGGACCGGGAUGGACGUACCUCUGGUGAACCAGUUGUCGUGCUAACGGCAUCGCUGGGUAGCUAUGUACGGAAAGGAUAAAUGCUGAAAGCAUAUAAGUAUGAAGCCUACUCCAAAACUAGAUAUCGUUUUCCUUUAUAGGAAGAGAGACACCUUGAAGAUUACGAGGUUGAUAGGCCAGAGGUGUAAGUAUAGUAAUAUACUAAGCUGACUGGUACUAAUUAGUCGAAAAGCUUGACUUU
rnacentral:ncRNA from 1 species